rnacentral:lncRNA from 1 species
AUGAAAGUGUAGGCACAUUGCCCAUGUUGAAUCCGGUUAUAUCUUCUCCCUCCGUUUUCUGGAUUUCGGCGCUGGUUGCUGCACCCUAUGUGAGUCAGAAUGGCAGCGAAGAAUGCAAAGGAAAGGAAAACUGUCAUUGUACUGCCAGCGCUUGCCUUCCGUGCCUCCUGCAAAGCUUGCUCUUCUCUUCUGACCUUUAAACUAGUUCUUUAUUUCAGGUAAAACUGCUUGUUUGACUCUUUCCCCGUUAAAGAAAGCGUUUGAAGAAGAUCCACAGAAAACUAGCCAUUUGUUAGCUUUGUUCUAAAAAAGCGUUACUUUAAAAAAUUUUAACUGUAAUGAUAGUUUCCUUCGUUAAAACUUGAGAUAUUUAUUGCAAUAGUAGCUUAGAUUUAUUGUUUCCUCUCUGUGUAACCGUUCAGCGUGGAGCCUGCCCGCGUCAGCUGCGAGUACAUAUUCUAGCCCCUUUCCUCUACCCUAUCUGCAGCAGAUCUGCUAUUUUCUCCCAGACCUCAGUGAGUUUUAUUAAGGUUGCACAUCCAAGCCAAGCUGGAAGCAGGCAGCCUUCACAAGAUGACUUGACAGGAAUGCAUGAGUGUGCCCCUAUGCUAAGGAUUGCUGAUGGCUUUGGGCGGCGGAUCGGCUUACAAAUUGGCUAGAUGCGCAUGACCUCGAUCAUGUAUGGGCCUCCCGCCCCCUUCCGCAGACAAUUGCCUUGAGUCCUUAGCAGAUGCACGGAAAAUCAAUAAACAGAGCAGUCCACCUUAAUAGGUUCGGGUGUGCUUGCUGACCUACUAACAUCUAAGCAAGCUAGAAGUAUGUUUUCAAAGUUAUUGUUUAAUUGAGGAACCCUAAUUUGGCACAAUCUCCAAUGGAUUUUUUUAUAAUUGUAUAAAAUUAUUAAAUUUAAAAAAUUACUCCAGAAAAGACAUUUAAAAACUAUUUUUAGAAAUGGCAUUCUCCCCUUUGUAUUUACAUAGGCUUUAAGGAGAAUAAAAGAAUCAAAGGAUCAAAUUAUCAAGGAAAUUACCAUAAUUUGUCACUCAAAGCAACAUAUCAUGUGCAUACUAAGUAGUAUUUUGAAAGCACCUUUUGGGAUAUGGAUUUUAAAUGACGCUGGUUUCUUGGUCAGAACGCAGCUGUUCACAUUCUCUGAGUAUAAAUUGAGCAACUUCCCUACAACAACAAUGUGGUUACAGUUUAAGACAGUGGCCUGAGAAUUAUUAAUUCCUGUGGUACAUGCUAAUCAUAUAUUUCACAAGAACCUCUGGCAUUGCUAUGGCUGCCUUUAACACUGGUAUGGAAAUUCCACACACAUCCUUUGUGGCUACAGAGUCAAACCAUCUGAGAACAAGCGUGUAUCAGGUGUGCCAAUGGCUUACACAAGCGAAACCUCUGCGAUUUUUAUUAAGAAAGAAAGCCAUAUGAUCCGAAGGUGCUUUCCUAAGUACAGAAUAUAAAUAUUUGAAUAAAGGUACAGUCAAGUGCAAAGACCAGGAGAUGAUUACAGAAUUUAGGGUGGAAUCAGGAUACUGGAUGUGUGUACAUGCAGGAUUUUCAUUAGGAACUUCGUGGGCUUUGGAAGUGAAAGAGCCUCUGCUCUCAGGCAUGUAUACAAACAGAAGCCACAGCAUGACUCUUGAGUCCUGGAAUGGGGGCAGAGCAGUGGGUAAGGGCAGUGGUGGCUACAGAUGCAUCUUUAGGAAGGAAAGCAGAGGUCAAAACUGACUCCAGAGAGGAGGUGGUUUGCUUACAGUAAACAAACAGUGAUGAGAUUCGUUGGUCCUUUCCACACCAAAUAACAGGCUUCUGGGCAGAUUGAUACAUUAUGCCAAACAUAGGAGCAAAGUUCUCUGACCCUGCAAGAGACUUGCCACAUUACAUAUAAGAGUCAUAGGAAAGGUUGCUCUUAGGCAGCGAUAAUGCCACUUGAGAGUUUGUUAUUUAUCACCUCACUUUAAGCACUCCUUAUGUAUUAUGUCAUUUAAUCAUGGCAACAAACCCAAGACAUAGGUAUUAUGUUUAACUCUUUGGGCUCUGAACCUAACUGUCUUUGACAAUCUCUGAAAGG